rnacentral:rRNA from 1 species
UGGGGAAUAUUGCACAAUGGACGCAAGUCUGAUGCAGCAACGCCGCGUGAGUGAUGAAGGCCCUUGGGUUGUAAAGCUCUUUCGGCUAGAAAGAAGGCAGUUAUGGUUAAUACCCGUAAUUGUUGACGGUACUAGAAGAAGAAGCACCGGCUAACUCCGUGCCAGCAGCCGCGGUAAUACGGAGGGUGCAAGCGUUGUUCGGAUUGACUGGGCGUAAAGCGCACGCAGGCGGGUUUUUAAGUUGGAUGUGAAAGCCCAGGGCUCAACCUUGGAACUGCAUCCAAAACUGGAAAUCUUGAAUGUUUGAGAGGUUGGUGGAAUUUGUGGUGUAGGAGUGAAAUCCGUAGAUA